rnacentral:rRNA from 1 species
CCUAGUGAUUAUAUAGUUCAGGCCCCACCCGUUCCCAUCCCGAACACGGCCGUUAAUCUUGAACUAGCCAAUGGUAGUAGGACUAUAGGUCCCGCGAGAGUAGGUUAUUGCUAGGU